UACAGAGGUCCCAAGCGUUGUUCGGAUUUACUGGGCGUAAAGGGUGCGUAGGUGGUGAGGUAAGUCUAAUGUGAAAUCUCCGAGCUUAACUCGGAAACUGCAUCGGAUACUAUCUCGCUCGAGGGUUGGAGGGGAGACUGGAAUACUUGGUGUAGCAGUGAAAUGCGUAGAUAUCGAGAGGAACACCUGCGGCGAAGGCGGGUUGCUGGGCUGACACUGACGCUGAUGUGCGAAAGCUAGGGGAGCGAACGGG
rnacentral:rRNA from 1 species